UUAAGCGACUAAGCGUACACGGUGGAUGCCCUGGCAGUCAGAGGCGAUGAAGGACGUGCUAAUCUGCGAAAAGCGCCGGCGAGGUGAUAUGAACCCUUGACCCGGCGAUGUCCGAAUGGGGAAACCCAGUGCAAUCCGUUGCACUAUCGUUAACUGAAUACAUAGGUUAACGAGGCGAACCGGGGGAACUGAAACAUCUAAGUACCCCGAGGAAAAGAAAUCAACCGAGAUUCCCCCAGUAGCGGCGAGCGAACGGGGAGCAGCCCGGAGUCUGAAUCAGCUUGUGUGUUAGUGGAACGGUCUGGAAAGUCCGACGGUACAGGGUGAUAGUCCCGUACACGAAAGCACACUUGCUGUGAACUCGAAGAGUAGGGCGGGACACGUGGUAUCCUGUCUGAAUAUGGGGGGACCAUCCUCCAAGGCUAAAUACUCCUGACUGACCGAUAGUGAACCAGUACCGUGAGGGAAAGGCGAAAAGAACCCCGGCGAGGGGAGUGAAAAAGAACCUGAAACCGUGUACGUACAAGCAGUGGGAGCCUCUUUAUGGGGUGACUGCGUACCUUUUGUAUAAUGGGUCAGCGACUUAUAUUCUGUAGCAAGGUUAACCGUAUAGGGGAGCCGAAGGGAAACCGAGUCUUAACUGGGCGUUAAGUUGCAGGGUAUAGACCCGAAACCCGGUGAUCUAGCCAUGGGCAGGUUGAAGGUUGGGUAACACUAACUGGAGGACCGAACCGACUAAUGUUGAAAAAUUAGCGGAUGACCUGUGGCUGGGGGUGAAAGGCCAAUCAAACCGGGAGAUAGCUGGUUCUCCCCGAAAGCUAUUUAGGUAGCGCCUCGUGAACUCAUCUUCGGGGGUAGAGCACUGUUUCGGCUAGGGGGCCAUCCCGGCUUACCAACCCGAUGCAAACUACGAAUACCGAAGAAUGUUAUCACGGGAGACACACGGCGGGUGCUAACGUCCGUCGUGAAGAGGGAAACAACCCAGACCGCCAGCUAAGGUCCCAAAGUCAUGGUUAAGUGGGAAACGAUGUGGGAAGGCACAGACAGCCAGGAUGUUGGCUUAGAAGCAGCCAUCAUUUAAAGAAAGCGUAAUAGCUCACUGGUCGAGUCGGCCUGCGCGGAAGAUGUAACGGGGCUAAACCAUGCACCGAAGCUGCGGCAGCGACGCUUAUGCGUUGUUGGGUAGGGGAGCGUUCUGUAAGCCGUUGAAGGUGUGCUGUGAGGCAUGCUGGAGGUAUCAGAAGUGCGAAUGCUGACAUAAGUAACGAUAAAGCGGGUGAAAAGCCCGCUCGCCGGAAGACCAAGGGUUCCUGUCCAACGUUAAUCGGGGCAGGGUGAGUCGACCCCUAAGGCGAGGCCGAAAGGCGUAGUCGAUGGGAAACAGGUUAAUAUUCCUGUACUUGGUGUUACUGCGAAGGGGGGACGGAGAAGGCUAUGUCAGCCGGGCGACGGUUGUCCCGGUUUAAGCAUGUAGGCGGAGGUUCCAGGUAAAUCCGGUACCUUAUUAACGCUGAGGUGUGAUGACGAGGCACUACGGUGCUGAAGUGAUAAAUGCCCUGCUUCCAGGAAAAGCCUCUAAGCAUCAGGUAACACGAAAUCGUACCCCAAACCGACACAGGUGGUCAGGUAGAGAAUACCAAGGCGCUUGAGAGAACUCGGGUGAAGGAACUAGGCAAAAUGGUGCCGUAACUUCGGGAGAAGGCACGCUGAUGUGUAGGUGAAGCCCCUGCGGGUGGAGCUGAAAUCAGUCGAAGAUACCAGCUGGCUGCAACUGUUUAUUAAAAACACAGCACUGUGCAAACACGAAAGUGGACGUAUACGGUGUGACGCCUGCCCGGUGCCGGAAGGUUAAUUGAUGGGGUCAGCGGCAACGCGAAGCUCUUGAUCGAAGCCCCGGUAAACGGCGGCCGUAACUAUAACGGUCCUAAGGUAGCGAAAUUCCUUGUCGGGUAAGUUCCGACCUGCACGAAUGGCGUAAUGAUGGCCAGGCUGUCUCCACCCGAGACUCAGUGAAAUUGAACUCGCUGUGAAGAUGCAGUGUACCCGCGGCAAGACGGAAAGACCCCGUGAACCUUUACUAUAGCUUGACACUGAACACUGGUCCUUGAUGUGUAGGAUAGGUGGGAGGCUUUGAAGCGUGGACGCCAGUCUGCGUGGAGCCGCCCUUGAAAUACCACCCUUUAAUGGCUGGUGUUCUAACGUAGACCCGUA
rnacentral:rRNA from 2 species